rnacentral:rRNA from 1 species
UACGUAGGGUGCAAGCGUUGUCCGGAAUUAUUGGGCGUAAAGAGCUUGUAGGCGGUUUGUCGCGUCUGCUGUGAAAUUUCGGGGCUCAACCCCGAACUUGCAGUGGGUACGGGCAGGCUAGAGUGUGGUAGGGGAGACUGGAAUUCCUGGUGUAGCGGUGAAAUGCGCAGAUAUCAGGAGGAACACCAAUGGCGAAGGCAGCUCGCUGGGACGUGACUGACGCUGAGACGCGAAAGCGUGGGGAGCAAAACAGG